UAGGGAAUCUUCGGCAAUGGGGGGAACCCUGACCGAGCAACGCCGCGUGAGUGAAGAAGGUUUUCGGAUCGUAAAGCUCUGUUGUUAAGGAAGAACGAGUGUGAGAAUGGAAAGUUCAUACUGUGACGGUACUUAACCAGAAAGGGACGGCUAACUACGUGCCAGCAGCCGCGGUAAUACGUAGGUCCCGAGCGUUGUCCGGAUUUAUUGGGCGUAAAGCGAGCGCAGGCGGUUAGAUAAGUCUGAAGUUAAAGGCAGUGGCUCAACCAUUGUAGGCUUUGGAAACUGUUUAACUCGAGUGCAGAAGGGGAGAGUGGAAUUCCAUGUGUAGCGGUGAAAUGCGUAGAUAUAUGGAGGAACACCGGUGGCGAAAGCGGCUCUCUGGUCUGUAACUGACGCUGAGGCUCGAAAGCGUGGGGAGCGAACAGG
rnacentral:rRNA from 1 species